rnacentral:rRNA from 1 species
GAUGAACGCUGGCGGCGUGCCUAAUACAUGCCAGUCGAGCGAACAGACGAGGAGCUUGCUCCUCUGACGUUAGCGGCGGACGGGUGAGUAACACGUGGAUAACCUACCUAUAAGACUGGGAUAACUUCGGGAAACCGGAGCUAAUACCGGAUAAUAUAUUGAACCGCAUGGUUCAAUAGUGAAAGACGGUUUUGCUGUCACUUAUAGAUGGAUCCGCGCCGCAUUAGCUAGUUGGUAAGGUAACGGCUUACCAAGGCAACGAUGCGUAGCCGACCUGAGAGGGUGAUCGGCCACACUGGAACUGAGACACGGUCCAGACUCCUACGGGAGGCAGCAGUAGGGAAUCUUCCGCAUUGGGCGAAAGCUUGACGGGGCAACGCCGCGUGAGUGAUGAAGGUCUUCGGAUCGUAAAACUCUGUUAUUAGGGAAGAACAAAUGUGUAAGUAACUAUGCACGUCUUGACGGUACCUAAUCAGAAAGCCACGGCUAACUACGUG